CGUAGGGUGCGAGCGUUAAUCGGAAUUACUGGGCGUAAAGCGUGCGCAGGCGGUUUAGUAAGACAGGCGUGAAAUCCCCGGGCUCAACCUGGGAACUGCGCUUGUGACUGCUAAGCUAGAGUACGGCAGAGGGGGUGGAAUUCCACGUGUAGCAGUGAAAUGCGUAGAGAUGUGGAGGAACACCAAUGGCGAAGGCAGCCCCCUGGGUCGAUACUGACGCUCAUGCACGAAAGCGUGGGUAGCAAACAGGAUUAGAUACCCUGGUAGUCCACGCCCUAAACGAUGUCAACUAGGUGUUGGGAGGGUAAAACCUUUUAGUACCGGAGCUAACGCGUGAACGUUGACCGCCUGGGGAGUACGGCCGCAAGGUUA
rnacentral:rRNA from 1 species